AUUCCUACGGGACGCAGCAGUGGGGAAUAUUGCACAAUGGGGGAAACCCUGAUGCAGCAACGCCGCGUGAGUGAAGAAGUCAUUCGUGAUGUAAAGCUCUAUCAGCAGGGAAGAAAAUGACGGUACCUGAAGAACAAGCCCCGGCUAACUACGUGCCAGCAGCCGCGGUAAAACGUAGGGGGCGAGCGUUGUCCGGAAUGACUGGGCGUAAAGGGUGCGUAGGCGGCAUAAUAAGUUAGAAGUGAAAUACCCAGAGCUUAACUCGGGUGCUGCUUCUAAGACUGUUGAGCUUGAGUGCGGGAGAA
rnacentral:rRNA from 1 species